CUCUGAGGUCCAUUGACACAUGCAGCAGAACAUAAAGCAACCUCAGGCCAAAUGAGAAUUAAGGCAAUUACCUCUGGUCACACCAGUCUCUUUGUGACUUGUUUUUCUCCUCUCACUUCUUUGCAGAGUGCCUUCCUGUGCCUAAAUGGUUUUGGAAAAAAAGGAGAGAGACUCUGGAAGAAAAAGGGGGCUGUGCAGCCUUCUCACUGAGCAAAGAGAGCUGUCUGAGACCAUGUCGUUCUUGUUUUGCUUAUACAAUUCGGCAUGAUUGCGGUGAUUUCUAUAAAAAGACAAUUGGCCACUGAAGGGUUCCCUCUUGGUGGAACUGGACUAGAGCUGAUCACUAACAAGGCUGAAUCUUUAUUAAGUUUGCAAGGACAACUUCAAGAAGUGAAGCAAAGAGAUGUGAGAAGCAAAGGACCAACAAGCUGCCUCUUCUUCCGGCAAAUUGCACCAACUAACAUGAGCAGUAGCUGCUUCAGGCCUCACUGGCCUCUCUCUUUGGCUUUGCAUAGAAAGGAACUCCAAAGGCAGAAAAUGGAGAAGGGAUGGUACCCUGCUCCAGCAGCUGGAGAACAGAGUAAAGAUCUCAAGGCCACACCUGUAUGGAAGCACAACUGAUCUAUUAACAAGAUUUAACCAAAGUGUCACCUUCUGAAAGCUUUUCCAGCAGCAGUACAAAAGGAAUUACUCUCUCCUCUGACAGUACCAGGAGGCUAACAAAAAUGCUGACGCUACCGAUCUUAUUUGUAGCAAUGGCUAACAGAGGUAGCAGGCCAGGGUAAUACGGAUUACGGAACAAUGAGGAAUACAAAAAUGAAUUUUCCUGAAUUAAAAUGUAGGUGAGUACACAGCACUGUGGUCCAUGUGAUGUUCU
rnacentral:lncRNA from 1 species